ACUCCUUCGAGAAGUAAUAGCUAGUGUUAACAGGUUUCGCCAUACCCAAGGGACAGAGAGUAUUAUUUUGGAUUAUAAGUGUUCGAGGCUAGAAAUCUUUGUAUUCACUUGAGAGGUCCUUCAAAUGCUACAUUUGGUGCACUCGUUCAAGAAGUAAUAGCUGGUGUUAACAGGUAUGGUUUGUUAUUCAGUCAUUCUUUUUCUUGGGUUCAACACUGAGAAGACUAAUCAAUUCCCAUCUGAAAAUUUUUCAUAGCUCAAUCCUCUCGAACUUGAGCCUUUUGUCUCAAAAUUCCCUUCUAUUCUUAUUUUUCCUUCUUUCUCUCUGAAAUCUGCUUGUUUCUCCAUUCCUGUUCGAUGUAUACUUUUUUCCUCUUGAUUAAAUUUUCAAAUGUAAUUUUCUAUUAUCUUUAUCUCUAUUUCAGAGCUGUUUGAGAAAUGGAGUGUGGAAAAUUUUGCCUCUUAUUAAAGUAUUCCCUAAAAUUCCAGUGAAGUCAUGAUUAAGAGGUUGUCAAGGUUUUUUUAAACAGUUCCGUUCAGUAAUCAUCCUUACUUGAGGUCCAAUAUUCUAUGCUUUCAUGCUUUUGCAUUGGAACUUAUGAUUGUGUCCUUAGAUAAUAUCGUUUGACUUCCUUUUCAUGUUCUUAGAAAGUUUCAUUUUUCCAAGUUGAUAUUGCCAGCAACUCUUUACAGGUAAGAAAUUUAGUGUAAGAUGGUGUCAAUUGACUGUUUCUAUUAAACUGUUUUAGUUAUUUGGUAAUGACUUUGUCAUUUUUCGCCUUUUUGCA